rnacentral:rRNA from 1 species
AGUAGCGUGCGUUGGAUAUCGCGCGUGAAUGUGGGAGGCAUAAACUUCCAAUUCUAAAUACUACUCGAGACCGAUAGUUAACAAGUAGAGUGAUCGAAAGCUGAAAAGUAUCCUUGACGGGAUGUGAAAAGUACCUGAAACCAGUUAGGAACAGGCUGAGUGGGCGUGAAAGCGAUGAUAUGAGCAGCGUUCACUCGUGCGUUUCGAAAAAUGCCCCUGGGAGUCUUGAUUAUUGGCGAGGUUAAGCAGUUGAUCUGCGAAGCCGUAGGGAAACCGACAAGUCCGCAGCCCUUCGGGGUGAGGGACGAGAUGUGCUCGUCUGAAGUCAAUAGUGGAGAACCUGAAGCCCGACGAUCUAUGCCUGGCCAGAUUGAAGCCCGACGAAAGUUGGGUGGAGGAUCGAACAGUUGCUGAUGUGCAAAUCGCUCUGACGAGCUGGGUAUAGGGGUGAAAGUCCAAUCGAGUUGGGCAAUAGCAGGUUCCGCGCGAGACUACUCGUAGGUAGACCUCUGUAGAGACAGAUUACGCUGUAGAGCACUGAUUGGGUGUUUAGGGAGAGCAAUCUCUCGGCAUCCUGCCAAACUCCGAAGGUGUAAUCGUCAAAGACGCAGGGAGUGAGCCACGGUGGGUAAGCUACCGUGACGAAAGGUGAACAAACCAGCCUAGUGUUAAGGUCCCAAAAUUCCAACUAAAUGUUAAAGAUAAACCGUGUCCGUGGUCGAAGACAACUAGAAGGUGGGCUUAGAAGCAGCCACCCUUGAAAGAGUUCGUAACAGAUCACUAGUCAAGCUUGCGGGCCGGGAAAAGGGACGGGACUAAGUUGGAUACCGAUACAUUAGACCAGCGAAAGCUGAUGUGGUAGCGCGGCGACAUGCUCGGACAGAAGCGAGGCUGUGAAGUCUCGUGGACCGUGUAUGUAUGAGAAUCCAGGGAAGAGUAGCAGCAAAGUGUGGUGAGAAUCCGCACCACCGGAGGGGCCAGGGUUCCUCGGCAAUGAUCGUCAGCCGAGGGUUAGCCGGUCCUAAGGAUAUCCUUAACCGAGAUAUUCGAAAGGGAAAUGCGUUAAUAUUCGUAUGCCUCUGUACAAUAAUGGUGACGGCUUUGGUUAGUUCGGCGGGUCAUAUAGCAGGCCCGUGAAGCGUUCAAUAAUCGAUUGGAGAACCGUCAUGGUGAGAAGAUCGAGAAGGCGUGAAAGCAAUCCGAAUGAUACCAAGGUCCCGUGAAAAGCCGUACAGAUGACCGUACCGAGAACUGACACAGGUGCCCCUGGGUGAGUAGCCUAAGGUGUGACGGAAAAACAACCGCGAGGGAACUCGGCAAAAUCGCCCCGUAACUUCGGGAGAAGGGGUGCCAGCCUUGAGAAAGGCUGGUCGCAGUGACUAGAGGACUCCGACUGUUUAAUAAAAACAUAGGAGACUGCCAGUCCGAAAGGAUGUGUAUAGUCUCUGAAUCCUGCUCAGUGCCGGUAUCUGAAAUGGGGGUACAACCUCACGAAGGACCGGUAAACAGCGGGGGUAACUAUGACCCUCUUAAGGUAGCGUAAUACCUUGUCGCUUAAUUGGCGACUUGCAUGAAUGGUCUAACGAGAGUCCUACUGUCCCCGCGGUUGGUCCGGCGAAAUUGACAUUACUGGCGCACAGUCCAGUACCUUCAGCCUGCAAGCGAAGACCCCGUAGAGCUUUACUGCAGCCUGUCGUUGUGUAGUGGCACUCCACGUGCUGCGUAGACGGGAGACAUCGAUCCAUCAGGCGCCAGCCUGGUGGGGAGUCGAACAGAGAGACACCGUCCUUGAAGUGCAACUACACUCACUCUUAACGAGGACACCGGUAGGUGGGCAGUUUGGGUGGGGCGCCACGCGCUCGAAAUGAUAACAAGCGUGCCCAAAGGUCAGCUUAGGUGGUUCAGUCUCCACCGCUAAAUGUAAGGGUAAAAGCUGGCUUGACGUGGAUCGGCACAAUAACGAUCGACGAUGCGAAAGCAGGGCCUAACGAACCUACUAGCCUCAUUUAUGGGGGCAGUAGAUAACAGAAAAGUUACCUCGGGGAUAAUUGAGUUGUCACCAGCAAG